UCGGGUAUGGUGUAGCGGUAACAUCGCUGACUCUCAUCUUGAGCAUCUCAGCAGCCCGGGGUUCGACUCCCCGUAUCCGAG
rnacentral:tRNA from 1 species